rnacentral:rRNA from 1 species
UACGGAGGGUGCAAGCGUUGUUCGGAUUUACUGGGCGUAAAGCGCGCGCAGGUGGGUGAACAAGUCGGAAGUGAAAUCUUGAGGCUCAACCUCGAGGCUGCUCCCGAAACUGUUCGCCUAGGGACUGGUAGAGGCUGGUAGAAUUCCCGGUGUAGCGGUGGAAUGCGCAGAUAUCAGGAAGAACACCCGUGGCUAAGGCGGCUCUCUAGUACGUGACUGACGCUGAGACGCGAAAGCGUGGGGAGCGAACAGG